rnacentral:rRNA from 1 species
CGUGGUAGCCACGCCGCCCUGGUUGUACCCCAUCUUGGAAACUAAGCAGGGCCAGGCCUGGUUAGUAUUUGGGUAGGGGACCGCUGCUCCUUGGGAGUUUUAUUUGUUAAAAGAUGUUGUUAUGA